GAUGAACGCUAGCGGGAGGCCUAACACAUGCAAGCCGAGCGGUAUUGUUUCUUCGGAAAUGAGAGAGCGGCGUACGGGUGCGGAACACGUGUGCAACCUGCCUUUAUCUGGGGGAUAGCCUUUCGAAAGGAAGAUUAAUACUCCAUAAUAUAUUGAUUGGCAUCAAUUAAUAUUGAAAGCUCCGGCGGAUAGAGAUGGGCACGCGCAAGAUUAGCUAGUUGGUGAGGUAACGGCUCACCAAGGCGAUGAUCUUUAGGGGGCCUGAGAGGGUGAUCCCCCAGACUGGUACUGAGACACGGACCAGACUCCUACGGGAGGCAGCAGUGGGGAAUAUUGGUCAAUGGGUGCAAGCCUGAACCAGCCAUCCCGCGUGAAGGACGACUGCCCUAUGGGUUGUAAACUUCUUUUGUAUAGGGAUAAACCUACCCUCGUGAGGGUAGCUGAAGGUACUAUACGAAUAAGCACCGGCUAACUCCGUGCCAGCAGCCGCCGCAGUAA
rnacentral:rRNA from 1 species